UCGUGGCCGAGUGGUCCAAGGCGCACGUUUCAGGUACGUGUCUUAAUUGGCGUGGGUUCGAAUCCCACCGAA
rnacentral:tRNA from 1 species